GGCGCGGUGGCCUAAUGAUUUAGUGCGCUAGACUCCGGAUCGAGAGGUACUGGUUCGAGCCCUGGCCGGGGUCA